UAUUUUGUUUGGAAAGGAUACAUGGGUUCUUAUAGUCUGGGCAGCUAGGAUGAUUAGGCCUUGUUUCUUGCCUCAUUUUCAGGGGUAUUUGGAUGAAGAGGAAGCUUUCAUGGAGCUAAUGACUCACCGUUUUCACAGAAUCACAGUUCAUCAUAGCUUUGGGGAAAGUUGAUUGAUUUUCCUGGAAAUCAUUCCCUGAGAAGGAAGCCAUCAGUCGGUUGAAGCUGACAACUUGAUGAUGGAAAGCCAUUCAAGCAGAGAAGAAACUAGUAAAGAUUCGGACAUGGUUGUACAAUUCUAGUGUAGUGCUGGAUUAAGGGUACAUAAAAGUUAGAACAGGAUAGACUUGGCACGCAUUGAGUCAUGAGAUUGAGGUUAUUAGUUUUACUAGAUGUUAACAAAGGUUUAAGUUUUGAAUGAUUAGUAGAGCUGGGCAUUUGGGACUCGUCCAAAAACCCGAUCUAAAUAAAUUGUCUUUCAACUUUGAUUGUUGACGACAUCCAUUUCAUUUAAGUAAUCAAUGACCCCCAACGGAGGUAUUAAAAUGUUCUGAAAACAUGUAUUUGUAUUUAUGGUCAACACUCAACGGAGGGUUGCACAAUUUAGUCAACACGUCUCAAAUGUAUUUUAGAGUAUA